AGAGCGAACGCUGGCGGCAGGCUUAACACAUGCAAGUCGAGCGGGCGUAGCAAUACGUCAGCGGCAGACGGGUGAGUAACGCGUGGGAACAUACCUUUUGGUUCGGAACAACACAGGGAAACUUGUGCUAAUACCGGAUAAGCCCUUACGGGGAAAGAUUUAUCGCCGAAAGAUUGGCCCGCGUCUGAUUAGCUAGUUGGUGAGGUAACGGCUCACCAAGGCGACGAUCAGUAGCUGGUCUGAGAGGAUGAUCAGCCACAUUGGGACUGAGACACGGCCCAAACUCCUACGGGAGGCAGCAGUGGGGAAUAUUGGACAAUGGGCGCAAGCCUGAUCCAGCCAUGCCGCGUGAGUGAUGAAGGCCUUAGGGUUGUAAAGCUCUUUCGCCCGCGACGAUGAUGACGGUAGCGGGAGAAGAAGCCCGGCUAACUCGUGCCAGCAGCCGC
rnacentral:rRNA from 1 species